rnacentral:rRNA from 1 species
UACGGAGGGUGCAAGCGUUGUCCGGAUUUAUUGGGUUUAAAGGGUGCGUAGGUGGCUUAUUAAGUCAGUGUUUAAAGUCUGCAGCUCAACUGUAGGAAUGGCAUUGAUACUGAUGAGCUUGAGUAAAGUUGAGGUAGACAGAAUUGAUGGUGUAGCGGUGAAAUGCAUAGAUAUCAUCAAGAAUACCGAUUGCGAAGGCAGUUUACUAAGCUUUAACUGACACUGAGGCACGAAAGUGUGGGGAUCAAACAGG